GGGUAAUGUGCCUUAUAGUGGGGGAUAACCUCAAGAAAUUGGGGAUAAUACCGCAUGUGGCUUGGAAUCGUUGGAUUCCUCGUCAAAGGUGCGUGCGCUUCGGUGUACGUGUCGCUAUUUGAGCAGCCCGCUCCCGAUAAGCUUGUUGGUGGGGUAACGGCCCACCAAGGCUUUGAUCGGUAGGUGGCCUGAGAGGGUGGUCACUCACACUGGGACUGAGAUACGGCCCAG
rnacentral:rRNA from 1 species